AGAGAUGCGCAGUGCUGCCCCUUUCUAUGGGCAGGGCCGAAGGUCCGCGUGUAAAAGUACCCAGUCCCUGGUAACCUGACACUUCCCUUUUAAAAGCCACCUUUUGUCUAUCUCUGGCCUGCCACGAUUCUUCCUGUGCUCCAUAGGAGGACCCAUUGGACCCCCGGGCUGGCUGCAGGGCCCACACCUGGGUUAGACCUCGCACAGGGACGCUGCUGCCACUGUAAUAAAGCGUGCCUACACGCUUCUGAAACUGGUGUAGGAACAACCUCAGUUCUGUGAAAGGCGGACGCAGCAGGACAGAAUCUCCGUGGACAUCUGUCUGGAGGAGCAAUUUUACUGCGACAUUUUAAAGAAACAAAUUUAAUUGAUUUCCAAGGCUGGAGUGUGACAAAGGAAAAUCUAAAAGGUCAACUUCAUUUACAGGAAAGAGCAUAGGAAAACAGACAAAAGAACAAAGAAGAAAAACAAUAGCAAGUCACUCUAAGUACUGUGGAAAUAAACUAAAUGUCAGGUUAGGAAUAGAACAGUGAAAGAAGGUCCCAGUAGUCCCAAGGACUCGGGAGGCUGAGACACGAAGACUGCCCAGGUGAGACUACAGAGACUGAAGUUGCAGUGAAUCAUCACAUCCUGCUACUGGACUUGAACAGUACUGCUGCUGAUGAGAGC
rnacentral:lncRNA from 10 species